GUGGCCAUUGCCUAAUGGUUAAGGCCCUGGUUUGUGAUGCCAGUCAUCUCGGUUCGAUUCCGAGUGGCUACCCCA
rnacentral:tRNA from 1 species